rnacentral:misc_RNA from 1 species
AACGGUCUAUACCUGCGGUACCUGCGGAAGGAUCAUUAUCAAUUUACAGCGGACUUCGGUCCUGUCUGCACCCUUGUCUUUUGCGUACUAUAUGUUUCCUCGGUGGGCUUGCCUGCCGAUAGGACACUUAUAAACUCUUUUGUAAUUGCAAUCAGCGUCAGAAAACUAUAAUAGUUACAACUUUCAACAACGGAUCUCU